UAAGCAGCCCUUUAAGCUACCAGACUUGGCAGCUGUGGCUUAUUCUGUUGCUGGGAGAAGGAAUUAAUAGCUGUGCUUCCUCUGUGUGGGAGGCCCAUAGGAAGGAAGCAGAGAGUAGCAGGAAAGAGAAAGAAAGAAAAGUUUGUAGAAAGGGUGAAGGGUGGUUUUCUACUUUCUUCCUGUAUCAGAUGAGUGUUAAGUACUGGCCCCAAAGGACAAUUCUUCUAUUGAAAAAUGCAACUAUAGAAUCAUCAGGGACUGUAUCCAAGUCUUGGGCCAAAUUCCAGAAUACCAAAUCAUGUUGAGAAGCUUAUGGCAUACCUGGUGUUACCAGUGGAAGACAUUAGCAUUGUGUUUCAAUAUUGUCAGUAUUUCAGAGGGAUUUGUGGAGCUGGACUAAAGAAAAAUGACACUGUACCUGUGAAAGCAUGUUGAUCAAACUUCUAAAGAUGACUUAUAUGCCACUUCAUGUCAGCAGCACAGGUCAUUAAAUAGGUGUACCAGGUCCAGAGGCUCCCUGGUGGAGGACUUGUGGCCCUGCAUCAUCCUGCCCAAGAAUAUAGCAGAGGGAAGUCCUCCAGGCAGCGUAGAGUGGCCGCAGAGGAGCGGCCAAUCAGAGGGGCUGAUGGAGCAGCCAAUCUGGGGCCAGAAAAGCCCUAUAUAAGACAAGCAGCAGAGCAGAGUUCAAUUGCUGUGUGGAGUUUGAGGAGUGAAGACUGGGUGCUGACUGGCUGGAAGAGUGGCAGUACCAUGGACAGCUCACUGCGGAGCAUUCACUGCAAACAGGACUGAAGCCCAGGGAAGGCUCCUGAAGACCAGGUGCCUGGCUGGCAGGAAGAGCAGCAGGACCAGCAGAAGGUCAGUGUGGGUUGAAGCCCCCAGGGACUGAGCACAGAACCUGGCUGGGCCAGCAAGGUAUUGAGGUGGGCCCCUCUGGUUUGGUUGGAGACUGCACCCCGAGAGGCCUACUGCAACACCACCAACUGUGGGUACUGCUUAACCAUUGUCUGGGUGGUUGAAGAAGGCAGUGCCUCUGCGAGAAGUCUUAGCGCUACGGCCUCAUACCAGGGCCAUCAUAAGAACUUGGACUGUAUACACUGGAAGGGGUUACAGAAUAUGUGGCUUGGCCAGGAGGCUGAGUCACUGAAGACUCGCCAAAAGAACCAUCAGCUGGGGGGGUGCUUGCGAGAGGCAGGUGCCAUCCCAAUAUAAGAAUUAAACCCAAAAGUAGGCUUACACCCAACCAACCAAAGGAGGCUACCCAUGAGAGGUGGGUGCCACCCCAAAAGAAGACUGUAAUUGCAGGUAUAUCGGCCAGAGAAAAGGGGGCACUUGCAAGAGAUGGAUGCUGACCCCUGUAUAUUUUGAUGUUAGUCAUCAUUGUCAAUUACUUCCUCUAUGGAUAGCAGAACUUUUCCUCCAAUGCACUGUCGAAUAUACAUCCUGUCCUCAUUUUGAAAGAUAUUCAUUAUGCUGUUUGUUAUCUUGAACUUUCUUGUGUGGAUUUCAGUUUUUUCUUCUCUUUUUUUCGCUCUGGCAGUGUACCAUAUGAUUGCUACUGCCCAUAUAUUAAUGGUUUGGAACAAUUUCUUUGAGUUGAGUUCUGUUCUUAAGGUUGUUCUUAUUAAUCUGUAAUAUUCUUUCCUCAUUUCUCCUUUGAGUUCCUUAUGUUGUUGUUCUAACGUUUCCCUGAUUCCAUGUCCUUUGUAGGAUUCAUGCUGAGAGACCACUUGGAUAGUACCUUGGUUAAGUUGUAUGCCAUCUGUUUAUAUCCAUUUGUCCCUCUUAACAGAUAUCAACACACAUUUAGCCUAUCCUAGCCAAGACAACCCACAGCAUUAUAUCUUCACCAUCAAUCUCCAUAUCCCCUUUUGUCACCAUUCAGGUAGUUUCAGAUUUUCCACGUAUAAAUGGUUAACUGCUUGUUGCGCUCUCCUGAUCUGGUAUCUACAAUUUACCUCACGAAGCCUCCAUGUCAGUGACAGCAUCACUACCAUGAACAGCACUGUUGAUAAGGAAUCUCCUUGAAAGAUUCCUGUUUUAAUUUGUAUCUCUGUGACAGUCUCUUUAAGGUAGAGUCAACUGUUCUGCUUAACCAUUGAUUAUUGCAGAAAGGAAAUGAUCUUUGGAUGUGCAUUUUUAGUGUUUUGUGCAUCCACAAAUGUGGGAGGCUGUCGUAUGCUUUUUGAUAGUCAUCCACACCAUCUCUAAAUUCUUGUUUUUUUUAUCUUCUGCAAUCCUCCAGUUCAGCCGAAGUGGUCUUUUGUCCCACUUGUGUUUUACUGUACAGUCUCUUUUGCUCAUGAGGCAACAUUCCUUUGAGCUAGCGCUAUCCAGAACUUCUUGGAAAGAAAUGACAUUAGAAGUUUCCAUAUGGUUGGUAAAAAUAUGAUCAGUCUUUAACUCACAGGAUCACUUCAGCCUUCUCUAUUAUUCUUAUUCUUAUUAUUUUUCUUAUGACAGUUUUCCCUGUCACCAUCCAUCUUGAAUAUCCAUUCUUGAAACAUUUAGUAAGUUCUUCAAGUAAUCAGUGAUGGAGAGUUGUUAGGUGUUUCAUCUAUGCAACCUAUUUUGUCUGGGUUCUUUUUCCAUUUUUCAUUCCUCUCAGUAACUCAUCUCUUCCUUUGAUAUUCCUGUGAAUUCCUCUAUUGUGUGGCUUUUAAAAACUUUUUUAGUUUAAAUUAUUUAUUUAUUAUUAGAACUGUCACUUUUGAUUGUGGCAUCCAAGCUUGAAAUAGACAUGGUUUAAAAUAGUGAUGAAGUAUACUUCUUGUCUUUUCCAUGUAAAGUGGCAUACAAAUUUGUGCCAGCCCAGACUGGUUUUUGAUGAUGUAGCUAGAAAUGUUCAUUCCUGAGACAUUACACGAUGGUGGUACGUUACUACAUAGAUCAAAUCAUGAUCAUACUGUCCAUUGUGAACCAUAUGUGGGACCAAAAUAAGAUGAACUCCAGCCUUUUCACUGGAUGGAAUGGAAAUACCUUGAAAUGGCCAGCUCUUGCAAUAUUUUGCCCCCUACAUGGCCAUCAGGAAUUAAAUACCUGUUUAGCUACAGAUGAUGUAGCAUCCCUGUUGUAGUUAUAAGGUAUUGCAUGUGAGGCUGUCUAUAAGGCCACUGUGUCACAGUUCACAUUCACUAUCUCCUUACUCCUCCUUAUUUACAUAGCUGAGAUCAUGCACUUUGCCUCUGUGGCUGAAGAGGGGACAAAUAUUGGUUGGUCGAGGACUAAAUCUGUGGCAUGUUUUUUCCCUUUCCCUAGAUUCCAUGGAAGCUGCUGUGUUCAGAGCAGAAUCCAUGGCUAGGGAAGUGGUGAGGCAUCAGUACUGACUUUUCUGUGUGGUGCCCUCUUUGUGCUAUGGAAACCACAAUUCCUUCCUGAGUGGAACUUUUGGGGACCAUGGCAAGAACAAGAGCUCCUCUGCCAGAGAGGGGCUGUGAAAGUACAGGGUAAACAGUGAGGCUGCUGUUUACUUAGGUCUAACUAACUUAGGUCCUGACUAUUAUCUAUGCAGAAGGACUUUCCAGCUCCUUCUGUGUAGGCAACAGUGAGGACCUAAAUUACUUCAACUAUAAAUUUAAGCUCAUGCUAGGGACCAGGUUCCCAUAACUCCCAUUGAAGGUGUGCAUGUCUUGUGUCUGAGCUCUCUGCAUAUGGGUGUAUUUCACACUAUGCAAAUUAGUCAGCCAUAUGCUGUGUGUGCUAGCUACCAGAUGUGUGAAUUAGUGUGACUGUAUUAGAAAUAAAGCUAUUUGUAUGCAAAUAACUCUCAGAGGAAUUUCUCCUUAUUAGACGAUGGAGGAGAUCAUCUGAAAAAAGAUGUGGUAUGCUUCAUCUCUGGUUUAGCAAAUUUGUCUUGUUUCAACAGCAUUCUAACAACAAGACCAACUGAAUAAUGCAAAAAGAAAGCACAGGAGACAUAUGGUUUAUGACACUUAUGUUACCUUUACUGUGCAAGAAAUGUCCCCGAGACCUGGACUGGUGGGCUGCAGCUGACGGAGCCACAAGGAAUCACCCAUGCUGAGGAGCCUGUUGCUCGAUGGACUACAUGUCUGGAAGUGCAAUAGGAAGUGACCCAGGGAGAGUGCACAAGUGGUACUUCCCACCCAAGUGAGGUCAGCGUAUUUCGGUAGGAGUCCCCGAUGACCUAAUGAUGGACCAUUCCUCCACUGUCAGGGCCCUGGGUUGAGGCCUGGUGGGGUUGGGUGCGACCAGGCCUCCAUCCCCUAGUGGCAGCCCCUUCCUUCUCCCUGGGUACUGGCCAUUGGGCCACAAGGCCCUACGUCUAGGGGCUGCUAUAUUGACUCUAGCCAUUGAUUUGCACUGUCCUAUACCCGAAGGCUGUUAUAUUGACACUGGUCCUUGAGUGUCACCGCCCCGUGCAUAGGGGCUGUGAUAUUGACUCUGGCCAUCAGGCCGCAAUACACCACACGAGGGCUUAUAUAGACCCUGGCCAUUAGGCCAUUGCCCUGCUCCUGAGGGAGGUUAUACUGACUCUGGGCACUAGGCCACGCUGCCCUGAAUGCCAGGGCUGCUCACCAUCUCCAGUCUCUGGGUCAUGCCGCUUUUGGCCUAAGGAGUGUCAGGAAGACUGUGACAGCGGUGGUAAUCUCAACUCUACCCCGCCCCAAAAAGGGGACAGGAUGUGUAUAGCCCUCAACAGUGCUCCAGAAUAACCCUUGAGAAUUCUCACCUAAUCCUACUUCACCAUUUAUCAGACAUGGGUUUCUCGUAACUAGCCACCUUCAUUGUAUCAGAUAGCCGCUCCUCCAAUUUACUGUAGCAAAUGGCUCAUUGACAUUUCAUGCUAGCAUGAUACCACAUAGUCUCAUCACCCUGACGAGCUGCUCUCAUGGCUUUUUCUGGAUUUUUAUUGUGAAAAGUACCUUGACUUUGAUAGCAAUAGCAGUGUCAAUUAAUGGGAUGGGAACCAAAACUACAAAAUUUGGACCUUUUGCACAUUUCACACAUGGCUGGAAAACUAACUGCAGCCCCAAACUAUCUGAGUGAGAUACAAGUUCUCAUUUUCUUCCUGAUUCAAAUCCCCAUGAAGUCAACCCAAGGAUCCCCCUUGAUUUAUAUGGGCUUUGGAUCAGACCUAUUUGGUUCUGCUUGUAAAAACUAGAGCUUCAGAGCAAGUUCUCUCUCCAGUCUACAUGGCAGACCUAAUCUGCUCUCUUAAGGGUGCCUCCUUGGCCAAUAGUCAAUAAAAUCGUGGUUUUGUCAGGGAAUAGUGCAAGUCCUAUAUCUAUCUUCAGCAUUUUCCUAAGAGGGUGGAUUGAGUGGUGGAUGAGUGGAUUAAAAAGGGAGAAUGUGAUUUAUUGUAGGUUAUUUCUUUUUGUGACUUAUCCAUUUAAAUGUUGUAUGUAUUGUAUGUUUAAAUGUAUGUUUAGUAAAAUUAUAAAGGAUCAAAACAUUAGCUAUACACUUGACUAAAUGAAAAAACCCAAAUGAUUAUGGAUGCAGAAAUAGAUUUAUUUUUCUAUUAAAUUUUUUCUUUUUCUGCAAGGGGGGAUGGUAUGGAAGACAUGAAUUUGGGGUUAAAAUCCUUGCUGCAAUGAAGUCGGUGACAGUUUGGCCAUUAAUUGCAGUGGGUUAGGCAUUUCACCCUUGAUGGAGCAGUAGAGCAGUUUACAUUUUUAUUCUACCAAACUUUUUAUUAGCUUUAUCAGUGUAUGACCUAGUCUUAGCCCUUCUUUCUAUUUGUAAAAUAAAGAAACAUAUAAUCUGAGGGUUUUGCUGACAAUUUAAUUCAUCCCUAUGACCCCCCCCCCCUUGACUUCUUUUUCUGUAAUCAAGUGGGAGGAAUUAUGAAAAUCCUAUGGUAUGCUCAGAUUUAGAGACCGAAGAGAUUGGAAUAUGCACGGAACUUAGACUUCCCCUCUCUCUCUUAUUUUCAAAAAUCUAUUUCUUUGUUUUAUCAAAGUCUCUACAAGCUUUAAAACCCAGAUCAAGUUUAAUCAUGGUCAACAAAGGGCGGGAGGGGAGAAAGCUGCUCUCUUACCUGCAUAUACUUUCACCUUGGUAGCCCUUGUUAACUUUAUCCUUGAAGGUCUUCUGUUGGAGAUGUCUGCCUACUGCUGUAACUGUAAAAAUUAUAAAGUCCUGAAGAUGUUGUUCAUGCAAAGCUCCCUUUGAAUUUAAGCAACUAGAUGAGGAAUGUAGCAGAUGGACUGGAAAAUGGAAUUAUCAUAUCCCUGGAAGAUAAUUUUUUCACCGAUUUAGAAUGAGUUAGCUAUGUUCAGUGAGAGUUGAGUAUUUCAAAUGGUUGAAGUCAAUAGGCCAAUUUCUAAUGUGCUUUUCAGUGUGAGUAAAAAUAUCAAAAUCUAGCCCUAAAAUUAAAAAGCUUAGUGUAGUGUGUUGCUAUAUGUAAUUUCAAAUCCAAGCUAUGCAAGUAUGAACAUGUUACAGUUAAUGAUUCAACACCAUGCCUUUCCUCUAUCCCUCUGUUUUAUUUAGAUAAUGAGGAACUGUUCCCUACUGUGGAGGUUCAUCUUAUAUUUGUUGCUCUCAAAUGAUGACCAGGACAUUUGUUGUUUGCCACAUGCUCCCAGAGUUUGUCUUCUGGU